GUGUUCUCUUUGGAAGCACACAUACUAAACUAGCAAUGACACAGAAAAGAUUAGCAUGGCUCCUGUGCAAAGAUGACCCACAAAUUUGUCUAGUGUUCCAUAUUUAA